AUUGAACGCUGGCGGCAGGCCUAACACAUGCAAGUCGAACGAGUGGCGGACGGGUGAGUAAUGUCUGGGACACUGCCUGAUGGAGGGGGAUAACUAAUGGAAACGGUUACUAAAACCGCAUACCAUCGGAUGUGCCCAGAGGGGAUUAGCUAGGAGGUGGGGUAAAGGGUCACCUAGGCGACGAUCCCUAGCUGGUCUGAGAGGAUGACCAGCGACACUGGAACUGAGACAAGGUCCAGAAUCCUACGGGAGGCAGCAGUGGGGAAUAUUGCACAAUGGGCGCAAGCCUGAUGCAGCCAUGCCGCGUGUAUGAAGAAGGCCUUCGGGUUGUAAAGUACUUUCAGCGGGGAGGCGUUACCCGAAGAAGAAGCACCGGCUAACUCCGUGCCAGCAGCCGCGGUAAUAC
rnacentral:rRNA from 1 species